rnacentral:lncRNA from 10 species
UGUACUCAUCUCUUUAUCAUAAGUGUCCUAAAUAAUGAAAGAACAAUUCUUCAAGAGAAAAGGAGUGGUCAGCCCCUUUACCCUCCUGUCAAGGAAAAUUAAGCCUGAAGGUCAUACUAUUGGAUGCUUAAAGGCCCUGCCGAUUCAUCACAAGACAGUUUCCACAAACUGAUGGGAGAGAGACACUUGCAAGGCUUAGCAGAGAACAACACUGUCAGUCUGGAGUAAGUGACAAAAAUAAGAAAGGGAAGUCUAUCCUGAUGCCCAGCCAGGGAAAAAUGGGAAGAAAGAGAAGAGAAGAGAAGAGACAGAGAGGUUAUCGCAGGAGUGGGACUGGUGACUAAAGAGGAAAUGAGACCUAAGCUAGCCUCCUUGCCAUGUGAUACUCUGCACCACCUUGAGACUCUGCAGAGAGUACCCACCAACAAGGAAGCUCUCACCAGAUGCGCCCCCUUGACCUUGGACUUCUCCACCUCCAGAACAGUACAAAAUAAAUUUCAUUUCUCAUAAAUUACUCAGUUUCAGAAAUCCUGUUUAAGCAACAGAAAAUGGACUAAGCUACUGCCCUGCUGAUCAGCCAGCCACCUGUACAUGUGCACACCCAGAUGACAUAUGCAAGAAUGUUCAGACCAUGGUAGAUGUUUCCAAAGAUGGCCCCCAUCAAGUCCUUACCCCUGUGCAUGCAUAUGCCCCUUCUCCCAUUCAGUUACCCCCCUUCCCUUGAGACUGAGUUGGUGCUGUAACUGCUUUUACCAAUAGGAUGCAGACAAAAAUAAUGUUCUGAGAAUUUCGAGAUCAAAACCUAACAGACUGAUAGCUUCCAUGUCCUUCUUCUUGGAACAUUCACUCAUAGAAUGCUCCCUCUCAGAACACAGAUACCAUGAGAGAAGUCCAACCGGGUCAUGUGGAGAGGCCACAUGGAAAAGAACUGAGGCCCAACAGCCCACACCACCUUCCAGUCAUGGGAAUGAACCUUAUUGGAUGUUCCAGCUUUGUCAAACCCCCAGAUGGCUUCAGACCCAACCAAGUUUAUGUGAAACAGAAGAGUCACACAGCUGAACCCACUCAACCCACUAAAUUGUGAGAGAUAAUAACAGGUUGUUGUUUGAAGCCACUACACUUUUUUGUGGUUAUGCCGCAACAGAAAAAUGAAACGCAGACCUCUCAAAAUCACAAGUCCACACUGUGAAUAUAUAAAUUUUAGCAAAGCACCCACUAUAGGCCUGCUUCUUUAAUAUAUAUUUUCUCAGUUAAUGCUCAAAACUAUGCUAAGACAUCAGCUUUCUCAUGGCAGAGAGAUUAUGUAAGAGGCAGAACUGAAACUCAAGGCACACUUCCUGGCCCUAAUUGAUGUGUUUGUCUCACUGCAUCUCAGAAGCUGGGACAAGUGACUCUGCGGGGUCAAUUCUCAGCUCUCUGAACAUGUAUCUGCUUUGGGGAUCAGUAUUACCAUGUGUGUUUUCAGGAUCAUGCUCUUCUAUCAUGUAGCCACCAAUGUGCGGCAAUGGAGAACUUUUUAUACAGUAUCCUAACAAAAAUUAGGAAGUCAUCAUUAGAUUCCCCCAAUCAAAUGUAUAAGACAGUACAGAAACAUAAUAAAAGCACAUCUAAAAGCCUCUUGGUAGAUUCAUGCAUCAGAUAAGAUGAUGGGUUAUACAAACUCUGAAGUCCUUUUUCUUCCAGCAAUCUAUGACCUGCCAAGCGCUGUGCAUAAUUCCUUACGUGCAUGAUCUCAUUUAACUUUCUCAAUAAGCCUAUACUUAUAAAGCAGAAACUGUUUUCUUUAGAGGUCUUUGGGGUCUUACUCUGUUACCCUGCUUGGUAUGCAGUGUGCAAACACAGCUCACUUUAACCUCAAACUCCUACACUCAGGACAUCCUCCCACCUCCACCUCCUGAGUAACUGGAACUACAGGCAAACACCACCGUGAGCAGCUAAUUUAACUUAUUUAUGUAUUUAUUUUUUAUUUGUUUAUUUUUAUCUUUUUUUAUUUUUUUAUUUUUUUGAGACAGAGUCUCGCUCUGUCGCCCAGGCUGGAAUACAGUGGCGCCAUCUCGGCUCACUGCAACCUCCACCUCUUGGGUUCAAGCAAAUCUCCUGCCUCAGCCUCCCAAGUAGCUGGGAUUACAAGUGCCCACCACCAUGCCUGGCUAAUUUUUUUUUUUUUUUUUUUUUUGUAUUUUUAGUAGAGACAGGGUUUCACCAUGUUGACCAGGCUGGUCUCGAACUCCUGACCUCAGGUGAUCUGCCCGCCUCCACCUCCCAAAGUGCUGGGAUUACAGGUGUGAGCCACUUUGCCCGGCAGUAACUGCUUUUAUCUCCACCUUAUAGAUGAGAAAACUAAGGCUUAGAGAAGCAAGAACACAGAAAUAGUAAGUGGCAGAGCCAAGAUUAAACACCACAGGUCUCCCAGAUCCACAGUCUAAAUUUUGUCAUAAAAUAUACAGUUUCCAUUCCUGCACUAGGAACAUAAUUUGUGGACUUGCUUGGAUUAUACAUAUUCCAAGAAAUUGUCCCAACUCCCAAAGAGCCAUCCCAGCUGCACCACAGGUCAUGAGGUGUGCAAGAAUCUAUCUGGUACAGCAUAAAACCAUGGAAGCUGCAGGUAAAGCCAGAACCCAAGCCAACUUCCACUUCCCACCCUGGGGAGAAGUUGGAGACUGAGUGUAUAAACACUAAGCCUACAAAUCUGCACCAACUGUUCUAUGGAAUAAACUUCUGAAUUGCAGCUCUAGUUUAUCUUUCAGAACAAGGCCAAGCAAUAACUCCGUAAAGAAAUGCCUACAAGGAUGACCUCUGGAAACACUUCAUAAUUUAAAAACCAGAAUAGCUGGGCACCACUGAUCCCACAGCCAAGUAGGUCAAGGCUGUGGCCCCUGCCAGUUCUACAAAUUCAUAUCUGCUUUAUCUGAAUUCAUUCAGGGUCAUGAAUAGAAGGGUAGGUUAUCUGAAGUUCUGACGUCUUCCCUUCAUUACCAGACAUACCAGCCAACAACUGGGUUUUAGGGUACUGAGUACAAGGACAUCUGGCUCAACAAAACUGAACAAGUCAGAAUUUGCGGUUGGGAACAGAGGUCAUUAAAGGAUUUACACAGCAAAGAGCAUGUCAGUGUGAUCUCCAAAUUUAAGGUAACAUUUCAGAGAAGGUUUCAUAUCAGAUCAACAUAAAACCAAUUUAAAUCUAUAAUAAACUCCAUUUCUUCAUCUUGUAUCUUAAUGCUAAAAUGUACUCUGCAAAACACAGGAUGCUAAACUAUGCACCCUGGAUAUAUUCACAGAUAGGAAUUACUUCCAGAAAGAGCAUGAACUAGUAAGCAUAUUACAGGAAAAUUAAUUUUUAUAAGUUUUUUUCUUACAAAAAUCAGAGUCUUUACACAGUAUCCUAACAAAAAUUAGGAAGUUUCAUUAGAUUUCCACUAUCAAAUUUACAAGGCAAUAUAGAAACAUAGUAAAAGCACAUUUAAAAGCCACUUGGUAGAUUUAUGCAUUAGAUAAGGUGAUAAAUUAUAUGACCUCUAAAGUUCUAUUUCAUAUAUGUAUAUAUAUUUGCAUAAGAAACUAAAUCACAAAGGACAAGUUUAUCUCUAUAAUAAAUCUUUCAAAAAAUAUUCUGACUUUCCACACUGAAAUAUUUAAGUUUUAGGUAAGAGGUAGAUAAGGUAAGUGGUGAUUCUCAUUUAUUUCAAAGCCAGAGUCUACUAACACCCAUAAUUCAUAAGCACUAAACCCACGGGAAAGAGGGAAGGAAGACAACAUAAAGGAGGGAAGGAGCAAAGAAAUAAAGGAGAGAGAAUAGAAAGGAAGGAAGAAAAGAAAGG